AGCAGCCGCGGUAAUUCCAGCUCCAAUAGCGUAUAUUAAAGUUGUUGCAGUUAAAAAGCUCGUAGUUGAAUUUCGGGAUUUGUCAGUUGGUCGGGCUUCACUGUCCGUAUUGACUUGAUGGAUUCUUACCUUCUGAAUAACCAGCAUGCUAUUAAGUUAGUGCGUUGGGGAAGCAGAUCUAUUACCUUGAAAAAAAUUUAGAGUGCUUAAAGCGAGCUAGUGCUUGAAUAGAUUAGCAUGGAAUAAUAAAAUAGGACGGCAUGGUUCUAUUUUGUUGGUUUCUAGGAUCACCGUAAUGAUUAAUAGGGAUAGUUGGGGGGCAUUAGUAUUCAAUUGUCAGAGGUGAAAUUCUUGGAUUUAUUGAAGACUAACUUCUGCGAAAGCAUUUGCCAAGGAUGUUUUCAUUAAUCAAGAACGAAAGUUAGGGGAUCGAAGACGAUCAGAUACCGUCGUAGUCUUAACCAUAAACUAUGCCGACUAGGAAUCGGACGAUGUUAAUUUUAUAAUGACUCGUUCGGCA
rnacentral:rRNA from 1 species